CAGAUUCUUGGCAGACCUCUGUUGUUUUUCUAGAGUUGUAGGCAAGUAGUUGGACAAAAAGCAAGAAGCUGAUCGAUGUUGCUGGCUUUGGAUUCUUUGUGAACAAAUGAGACAAGGCUGCAAAUUCAGAGGAUCCUCCCAGAAGAUAAGAUGGAGCAGGUCACCACCUUCUUCCCUGCUUCACACCCUCAGGCCCCGACUCUUGUCUGCUGAGAUCACUCUCCAAACCAAUCUUCCCUUACAAAGCCCUUGUUGCAGGCUAUGCUUUCUGAGGGGAACCCAGGCCAAGACACUAAAAUGACACACCAACAUGAAGACAUGAACACAAUUGCAAAGGGAUUGGUUGGAUUGCAUAUCUCUGUGAAUGGGACUCAAGAGAAGUUUGGGAAAUGCUGGACCAGAUGACCCUUGCAAUCAUGGUGCACAGAAUUAAAACCGUCAAGUUCCCCAUCCAUCUCUGAGAUGGAUGAGAAUCUGAGUCUUCCACAAGAUGCCCAAGACUUGUUAAACCCGUGGAAUGUCUUUGGGUAUGUGUGACAUCAACAAGAAGCAGCAGACAAAACAAAAUAUUUUCACAAACAUUCAGAAAUCCCUAAAUCUUGUGAGUUGUCGUAUCAUUUGUAGAUAUAAUUAUAAAAUGGCACAUGAUGCUGACUGCCAGAGGGAUGCUAACACCGCCCACGUGCUGCAGCAGGACUUUGGAAGGGGAACCAGCACUGUAAUGAAGUGUUGGGUUGGCUCAAGUCUUGUCUGGACCACAAACCAUUUUUCAACCACUAGUGUGCCUUUAAAACCCAAACCAACUGUGAGAGUGGUUUUCUACUUUGAUUCUAGAUGGGAAAAUAUUUUGCUUUUUUGGUGGAUGACAGUGUCAGGUCCCAAAUGGAUUUGGUUUCAUCCUCCAGCACGCAUGCAUAUAACGUGAAACAUGCCCACACUCUGCAAGGGCCACAGCCACCCCACCAUUAUGUUCCAAGGCAAAUAUGCGUCCGCGGGUCCCCGGGAAAGUAAAGGAGUUUCACAUUGAGGAGCCGAGCCACACAGUCUAGCAGUUCUGAUGUCUCUCCAAGGCCCACAGAUCCUGGUCUACUAACUUAAGGGCCCUUUUGUCUAAAAUAGUGAUGUACAUUAAAUGCAAAGGGCAAAUGGAACCAUUGAAAAGUACUUUUUGCAUCCAAAACAGCCAACGCUUUGGUGCCUGCUAUGUGUCAGACACUGAUUCUUCUGUCAUCCUUAUUCUACUGAUGAGGCAACUGAGGCAGCUUCAGAGAGUUCGAGUAACCUGCGGAUCACACAACUAGGAAGUAAGAGAGCUGGAACUUGACGUUGGGCUGUUGACCUCCAGAAAUGGUGUUUUUUCCAGUACUCAGUGCUGCCUCUGACUCCAUUGUGAUGGUUGAUUUUAUGUGUCAACUUGACUGGGCCCAGGGGUACCCAGAUAUUUGGUCAAACAUUAUUCUGGGUGUUUCUGUGAGGGCGUUUUGGGUGAGAUUAACAUUUAAAUUGGUAGACUGAGUAAAGCAGAUGGCCCUCUAUGAUAUGGCCAGGCCUCAUCCAAUCCAUUGAAAGCCUGAAUGGAACAAAAAGGCCAACCCUCCCUCAGUAGGAGGAAAUUUCGUCUGCUUGACUGCAUUCAAACUAGGACGUCAACUUUUUCCUGCCUUUGGACUUGAAUAGAAACAUCAGCUCUUCCUAGAUCUUCAACCUGCCAGGCUUCAGAUUGAAGUUUAUACCAUCAGCUCUCUUGGUUCUUGGGCCUUUGGACCCAGACUGUAAGUGCACCAUCCGUUCUCUUGGGUCUUGCUUGCUGACUCACCCUGCAGAUUUGGGGACUUAUCAGCCUCUAAUUCUGUGAGCCAAUUCCUUCUAAUAUAUCUCUCUAUACGCAUCCUGUCUCACUGGAAGAACCCUGAUACGGUUAGGCUUUGUGUCCUCAUUCAAAUCUCAUCUUGAAUUGUAAAUCCCAUAAUCCCCAUAAUCCCCAUGUGUCAGGGGAGGGAUCAGGUGGAGGUAAUUGCAUCAUGGGAGCAGUUUCCCCUGUGCUCUUCUCACGAUAGUGAAAGAGUUCUCACAAGAUCUGAUGGUUUUAUAAGGGGCUCUUCCCCCUUUGCUCUGCACUUCCCCUUCCUGCUGCCUUGUGGCCUUGUGAAGAAGGUGUCUUGCUUCCCCUUUGCCCUCCUCCAUGAUUGUAAGUUUCCUGAGGCCUCCCCAGUCAUGCAGAACUGUGAGUCAAUUAAACCUCUGUCCUUUAUA
rnacentral:lncRNA from 10 species